GAUGAACGCUGGCGGCGUGCCUAAUACAUGCAAGUCGAGCGAACAGACGAGGAGCUUGCUCCUCUGACGUUAGCGGCGGACGGGUGAGUAACACGUGGAUAACCUACCUAUAAGACUGGGAUAACUUCGGGAAACCGGAGCUAAUACCGGAUAAUAUAUUGAACCGCAUGGUUCAAUAGUGAAAGACGGUUUUGCUGUCACUUAUAGAUGGAUCCGCGCCGCAUUAGCUAGUUGGUAAGGUAACGGCUUACCAAGGCAACGAUGCGUAGCCGACCUGAGAGGGUGGUCGGCCACACUGGAACUGAGACGCGGUCCAGACGCCUACGGGAGGCAGCAGUAGGGAAUCUUCCGCAAUGGGUGAAAGCCUGACGGAGCAACGCCGCGUGAGUGAUGAAGGUCUUCGGAUCGUGAAACUCUGUUAUUGGGGAAGAACAAAUGUGUAAGUAACUAUGCACGUCUUGACGGUAACUGGUCAGAAAGCAACGGCUAACUACGUG
rnacentral:rRNA from 1 species